rnacentral:rRNA from 1 species
UACGUAGGUGACAAGCGUUGUCCGGAUUUACUGGGCGUAAAGAGCGCGCAGGCGGUCGAUCAAGUCGAGUGUGAAAGCCCCCCGGCUCAACUGGGGAGGGUCAUUCGAUACUGAUCGACUCGAAGGCAGGAGAGGGUAGUGGAAUUCCCGGUGUAGUGGUGAAAUGCGUAGAUAUCGGGAGGAACACCAGUGGCGAAGGCGACUACCCGGCCUGUUCUUGACGCUGAGGCGCGAAAGCUGGGGGAGCAAACGGG